rnacentral:lncRNA from 1 species
GAAAUAAUAAAAUAAGGUUGGUGGAGAAAGUGGUAAUAAAAUAUAAUUUAGAAAAAUGAUGGAAUAAAUAAAAGUUAUUAGUAAGAGAAACUAAUAUAAAAGUGAGGUGGAAAAGUAGAUGGAAAAAAUGGAUGAAGAAAAUAAUAAAAUAUGUUGGUGAAGAAGGUGGUGAAUAAAAUAUGAUUUAGAUAAAUGAAUGGAAUAAGUAAGAGAAAUUAAUAUAAAAGUG